rfam:Schistosoma margrebowiei strain Zambia genome assembly, scaffold: SMRZ_contig0004725
AUCUAACUGACAAGUCCCAAACAAGAUGAAACGCGCUUUCUGGAU